UGGGGAAUUUUGGACAAUGGGCGCAAGCCUGAUCCAGCAAUGCCGCGUGCAGGAUGAAGGCCUUCGGGUUGUAAACUGCUUUUGUACGGAGCGAAAAGGUCUGCCCUAAUACGGUGGGCUCAUGACGGUACCGUAAGAAUAAGCACCGGCUAACUACGUGCCAGCAGCCGCGGUAAUACGUAGGGUGCAAGCGUUAAUCGGAAUUACUGGGCGUAAAGCGUGCGCAGGUGGUUAUGCAAGACAGAGGUGAAAUCCCCGGGCUCAACCUGGGAACUGCCUUUGUGACUGCAUAGCUAGAGUACGGUAGAGGGGGAUGGAAUUCCGCGUGUAGCAGUGAAAUGCGUAGAUAUGCGGAGGAGCACCGAUGGCGAAGGCGAUCCCCUGGACCUGGACUGACGCUCAUGCACGAAAGCGUGGGGAGAGAACA
rnacentral:rRNA from 1 species